GAACUCCCGAUCGCGAAGGGCAGGGUGCCGGGAGCUUAUCUGACGCUGAGGCUCGAAAGUGCGGGUAUCAAACAGGAUUAGAUACCCUGGUAGUCCGCACCGUAAACGAUGGAUACUCGCGGUAUGUCCAUUAGGAUAUGUCGUUACCCGAAAGGUUUAAGUAUCCCACCUGGGGAGUACGCCGGCAACGGUGAAACUCAAAGGAAUUGACGGGGGCCCGCACAAGCGGAGGAACAUGUGGUUUAAUUCGAUGAUACGCGAGGAACCUUACCCGGGCUUGAACUGGACAGGACGUUAGGCAGAGACGCUUAAUUUCUUCGGACCUGUUCGGAGGUGCUGCAUGGUUGUCGUCAGCUCGUGCCGUGAGGUGUCGGCUUAAGUGCCAUAACGAGCGCAACCCCUGUCGUCGCUUGCCAUCAGGUAAUGCUGGGCACUGCGUUGAUACUGCCAUCGCAAGAUGUGAGGAAGGUGGGGAUGACGUCAAAUCAGCACGGCCCUUACGUCCGGGGCUACACACGUGUUACAAUGGGAGAAACAGCGCGUUGCCACCAAGCGAUUGGGCGCUAAUCGUUAAAAUCUCCCUCAGUUCGGACUGGAGUCUGCAACCCGACUCCACGAAGCUGGAUUCGCUAGUAAUCGCGCAUCAGCCAUGGCGCGGUGAAUACGUUCCCGGGCCUUGUACACGCCGC
rnacentral:rRNA from 1 species